AGCGAACGCUGGCGGCAGGCCUAACACAUGCAAGUCGAACGAAGUCUUCGGACUUAGUGGCGGACGGGUGAGUAACACGUGGGAACGUGCCUAUAGGUUCGGAAUAACUCAGGGAAACUUGUGCUAAUACCGAAUGUGCCCUUCGGGGGAAAGAUUUAUCGCCUUUAGAGCGGCCCGCGUCUGAUUAGCUAGUUGGUGAGGUAAAGGCUCACCAAGGCUACGAUCAGUAGCUGGUCUGAGAGGAUGACCAGCCACAUUGGGACUGAGACACGGCCCAAACUCCGACGGGAGGCAGCAGUGGGGAAUCUUGCGCAAUGGGCGAAAGCCUGACGCAGCCAUGCCGCGUGGAUGAUGAAGGUCUUAGGAUUGUAAAAUCCUUUCACCGGUGAAGAUAAUGACUGUAGCCGGAGAAGAAGCCCCGGCUAACUUCGUGCCAGCCGCCGCCGUAAGAC
rnacentral:rRNA from 1 species